rnacentral:rRNA from 1 species
GAUGGGAGCUUGCUCCCUGAUGUUAGCGGCGGACGGGUGAGUAACACGUGGGUAACCUGCCUGUAAGACUGGGAUAACUCCGGGAAACCGGGGCUAAUACCGGAUGGUUGUUUGAACCGCAUGGUUCAGACAUAAAAGGUGGCUUCGGCUACCACUUACAGAUGGACCCGCGGCGCAUUAGCUAGUUGGUGAGGUAACGGCUCACCAAGGCGACGAUGCGUAGCCGACCUGAGAGGGUGAUCGGCCACACUGGGACUGAGACACGGCCCAGACUCCUACGGGAGGCAGCAGUAGGGAAUCUUCCGCAAUGGACGAAAGUCUGACGGAGCAACGCCGCGUGAGUGAUGAAGGUUUUCGGAUCGUAAAGCUCUGUUGUUAGGGAAGAACAAGUGCCGUUCAAAUAGGGCGGCACCUUGACGGUACCUAACCAGAAAGCCACGGCUAACUACGUGCCAGCAGCCGCGGUAAUACGUAGGUGGCAAGCGUUGUCCGGAAUUAUUGGGCGUAAAGGGCUCGCAGGCGGUUUCUUAAGUCUGAUGUGAAAGCCCCCGGCUCAACCGGGGAGGGUCAUUGGAAACUGGGGAACUUGAGUGCAGAAGAGGAGAGUGGAAUUCCACGUGUAGCGGUGAAAUGCGUAGAGAUGUGGAGGAACACCAGUGGCGAAGGCGACUCUCUGGUCUGUAACUGACGCUGAGGAGCGAAAGCGUGGGGAGCGAACAGGAUUAGAUACCCUGGUAGUCCACGCCGUAAACGAUGAGUGCUAAGUGUUAGGGGGUUUCCGCCCCUUAGUGCUGCAGCUAACGCAUUAAGCACUCCGCC